rnacentral:ribozyme from 1 species
UUUUUUUUUUUUUUUUUUUUUUUUUUUUUUUUCCUG